GACGAACGCUGGCGGUGUGCUUAACACAUGCAAGUGGUGCGACGAACCAGAGCUUGCUCUGGGGCAAAGCCGCGAACGGGUGAGUAACACGUGGGUAAUCUACCCCGAUGACCGGGACAAUCCGAGGAAACUCGGGCUAAUACCGGAUGUGGUACGGAGACAUAAGUCUCUUUACUAAAGGUAGCUUCGGCUUCCGCAUUGGGAGGGGCCCGCGGCCCAUUAGCUAGUUGGUGGGGUCAAGGCCUACCAAGGCAACGAUGGGUAGCUGGUCUGAGAGGACGAUCAGCCACACUGGGACUGAGACACGGCCCAGACUCCUACGGGAGGCAGCAGUGGGGAAUCUUGCGCAAUGCGCGAAAGCGUGACGCAGCAACACCGCGUGAGGGAAGACGGCCUUAGGGUUGUAAACCUCUUUCAGAUGGGACGAAGGUGAUGCGGUGAAUAGCCGAUGUCAUUGACGGUACCGUCAGAAGAAGCUCCGGCUAACUACGUGCCAGCAGCCGCGGUAAUC
rnacentral:rRNA from 1 species